UGAAUUUAAUUAAAUCCUCAGAUAAAGAAGAAACCAAGGGUUACGUUGCAACAAGAAAAGUGGAAGGAAGCGCGUAGGAAGCCAGCAACGCCGACAUAUUUAUUGUGGAGUGAAUAGGUACAAAUUGAAGUAAAAAAUUACACUGCUCAACAAGACUGGCGAUCAAAUCGCUCUAUUCUGAUGGCUUAUAUCCUCAUUGUUAACCCUGUAGGAAUGAGAAGGGCCGAUUACAGCGAAGGGAUCGAUGUCGCAGAAGUCUGAAAAGCUUCCCUUUGCAACCUAUCUGACAUGCUUCAUUUGACGAGAUGGGUAUACAAGUCGAGAGUUGUUAUAAAGUUGAGGAAUCUCUUUACUUGAUGGUCAUUCAUAGCCAAGCCAAAUACAAAUACAAGUUGAAUUAAUUGCAGCGUGUGAUAGCAGUAGCACAUUCACGUAAUGUGCCACCAUCUUUGCAAUGCAAAGCACUUCUUUCAGCCAGCUACGGAUAGCCGAAAGAUCGCAAUGAAUGCAAGUCCUUCCUCAUCAUGUGAACAAUAGUUAAUUUAAUCUACAAAAUUCACAUUUGAAUAUCUUCCUUUUACAUUUUUUAUCGAACUCUGUGAUGUAGUUGGUCUCUGGAAUUCAAUCGAAAUACCUUCUUUCAAUUAUGAUUUAUUGCUUUCAAUGCCGUCAAUAUCUUCAAUUCAAUUCUGCCUCUUGUUAACAACGAAGAAGGAGACAAGAUCGGAAAAUUUGCUGGCGAUGGUAUUUGGCUGGACGAAGAAAAAACGUCGCCUUUUUCUCUUUAUCAGUUCUUUUUGAAAAUGCCAGAUUCUGAAGUCGAGAAUCUUCUCAAGUCGUUCACGUUGUUCAAGUAGUUUUAUUCCACUGGAAGAAAUUGCAUUUCUCAUGGAACAACACAAAAAACCACCAGAGAAGAGAAAAGCACAAACGAUUCUAGCUGAAGAUAUGAGGUGAUUUUUAAUAAACAAAUAAAUCACUUCUUUUAGCUUUUUAAGUUUUUCUCUUUCAGAGGCGGAUCUAAAAAGCCGAAAAAGUCACAGAAGCGCUCUACAAGGCAAAUGUUGAAGGACUAGGUGAACUGAACUACAACUAAAUCCUAUCGUUAAGAUUUUUCCAGAGCCUGGACUAUCCAUUCUUGAUCUGGCACUAAAAGCUUAAUGUUUUACAACAGAGACUGAUACGAUGAGAAUCAUCACAGCUGGGGGUUCUAUAACAAGCAAUAGCGAACUCAAAACUUCGCACUAACAUCACAUUAACUCAUCACCGCAAACAACAGAUACCAUUUAUAUCUAUUAGUUCAAAAUGUUAAAUGUCUCCUUUUUGUUGGCAAGGAUGAGCUUAUGAAUAAAAACAAUUUGUUUAGCUUAUAUCCAUAUUCAAUUUUACAUUAAUUAAAAGUCAUUAAUAAUAAUAUUGUAUUCUUUUUUGUGAUAAAAAUAAAUAAUUUGAAUCAUUAAACAUGUAGACUCCCUGGUUUGUUAAUCAUGUUUAU